rnacentral:tRNA from 1 species
ACCAUUGCUCAGUUGGUAGAGCACAAGGCUCUUAACCUUGUGGACGUGGGUUCAAGCCCUAUGGUGGGA